CAGUAGCCGCGGUAAUACAGAGGAUGCAAGCGUUAUCCGGAAUGAUUGGGCGUAAAGCGUCUGUAGGUGGCUUUUCAAGUCCGCCGUCAAAUCCCAGGGCUCAAUCCUGGACAGGCGGUGGAAACUACCGAGCUGGAGUACGGUAGGGGCAGAGGGAAUUUCCGGUGGAGCGGUGAAAUGCGUUGAGAUCGGAAAGAACACCAACGGCGAAAGCACUCUCUGGGCCGACACCGACACUGAGAGACGAAAGCUAGGGGAGCAAAUGGGAUUAGAUACCCCCGUAGUCCCUGUCUCUUAUACA
rnacentral:rRNA from 1 species